AAGUUGAGAGGGGAGCUGGAGACAGCUCAGCGGCUGAGGGGGCUUGCUGUGCGAGCAUGAAGACCUGAGUUCAAAUCUCCAGGACCCAGAUGGAAACGUUGAGACUUGAAGAACAAACAGCUCAUGAUUGUGUAAGUAGUGAAGGACAAAGCUGAAAUGAGUGAAACUGGACUCUUCACACCAGAAAAGCCUGCUUUCUGCGUGGGCCACCCAGACUUCAGAGAGUGAGACUGAUAAGAAAGCCAAGAGACACACAUGGGGUCAUGAAAAGCCAUGGGAAGGUCCCACCUGUCAUACAUUUCACUGCCUGGAGUCAGCUGGUGACGAAGCACUGUAGUACCCAUUCCCGUGGAGUAGCUACAAACAUGUCCAGCUACAGAGCUACAGAACUGAAGUCACCCAAGUUCCGUUCCUCUGGCUCUAAAAUCACUCGGUUACUGGUUUCUUUCCCUAAUGCUGGGGUAAACACACAUCUCCGAGUUCAGCCAAAUUAGCUUCCACAUGUCACCUGACAUUGAUAAAAGAAACAGUUAAAAAACGAGCUCAUUUAGGCUUCCGUGUCUACUUUUCAAAUCAGCAGUAGCCACAACUAUGCAGAACUUAGAGCAACAAAAGCUUGCUAAAGGAGGUCUGUGUUAGCAACGUGCAGACUGCCAGUACACUGUGGCAUUGAAAAGCAGAUCUGCUUCGAGAUGGUCUUUUGUGCAUUGCAUCUUCCAUAGAAACUGACCCCCCACCUACCGCAAUGUCUAGCUCGAAGUUGUUAUACCACUGACCUAC
rnacentral:sRNA from 1 species